GCCCUUGUAGCUCAGCCGGUAGAGCAACGGUUUUGUAAACCGAAGGUCGCGGGUUCAAAUCCUGCCGGGGGCACCA
rnacentral:tRNA from 1 species